rnacentral:lncRNA from 1 species
ACCCCAACGUGAUGGAGUCCAGGGUGGUGGUGAGCUCCUGCGGCCACGACGGGCCGUUCGGCGCCACGGGCGUCAAGCGGCUGCAGGACAUCGGCAUGAUCGACGCCGUGCCCGGCAUGCGCGCCCUCGACAUGAACACCGCCGAGGACGAGAUCGUCCGCCUCACCCGCGAGGUCGUCCCCGGCAUGAUCGUCACCGGCAUGGAGGUCGCCGAGAUCGACGGCGCCCCGAGAAUGGUACGCACCAAAAAAACAUCAAACUCUUCACCAUAAUCUCUCCCCCGUUCUUGGAUUUGAACAAAUUCGUUGUUGCAGGGCCCGACGUUCGGAGCCAUGAUGAUCUCCGGCCAGAAGGCGGCGCACCUGGCGCUGAAGGCGCUCGGCCGGCCGAACGCCAUCGACGGCACGAUCAAGAAGGCGGCGGCGGCGGCGGCGCACCCGGAGCUGAUCCUGGCGUCGAAGGACGACGGCGAGAUCGUGGACGCCUGAGCGAAUAGAACAGGGUAAAAAAAAAUCCGCAAGACGUGGUGGUGACACG